UACGUAGGCAGCAAGCGUUGUUCGGAAUUACUGGGCGUAAAGGGUGUGCAGGCGGCUUGGUAAGUGUGGUGUGAAAUCUCCCGGCUUAACUGGGAGGGUGCGCUACAAACUGCCGGGCUAGAGUGUGGGAUGGGAGAGUGGAAUUCCUGGUGUAGCGGUGAAAUGCGUAGAUAUCAGGAGGAACACCGGUGGUGUAGACGGCUCUCUGGACCAUAACUGACGCUGAGACACGAAAGCUGGGGGAGCAAACAGG
rnacentral:rRNA from 1 species